rnacentral:rRNA from 1 species
UACAGAGGUGGCAAGCGUUGUUCGGAAUUACUGGGCGAAAAGGGUGCGUAGGCGGUUGGGUAAGUCUGUCGUGAAAUCUCCGAGCCUAACUCGGAAACUGCGUCGGAUACUAUUCAACUCGAGGAAUGGAGGGGAGACUGGAAUUCUCGGUGUAGCAGUGAAAUGCGUAGAUAUCGAGAGGAACACCAGUGGCGAAGGCGAGUCUCUGGACAUUUCCUGACGCUGAGGCACGAAAGCCAGGGGAGCAAACGGG